GCGCAGCAGUCGAGAAACCUCCGCAAUACACGAAAGUGUGACGGGGCCAUCCCGAGUGCCGUCCGCUGAGGACGGCUUUUCCCCAGUGUACACAGCUGGGGGAAUAAGGAGAGGGCAAGCCUGGUGUCAGCCGCCGCGGUAAUACCAGCUCUCCGAGUGGUGGGGACGCUUAUUGGGCCUAAAGCAUCCGUAGCCGGCUGGGCAAGUCCUCCGUUAAAUCCAACGAUUCAAUCGUUGGCUGGCGGGGAUACUGUCCAGCGUUGGGGGCGGGAGAGGCCGACGGUACGUUCCCGGGGUAGGGGUGAAAUCCUAUAACGUCCCGGGAGGACCACC
rnacentral:rRNA from 1 species